CUUAUUAUAUGUUCAUUGUGUACAUGUACUUAUAAAUUGUAUUUGAACUUAUAUAUUAUUAGAAAAAUUUCUUUGAGAAACCCUUUUGUUUGACCUGUUAUUAGGGUCCCAAACCAACCUAUAAACAAAGAUCCCCAGAGGAAGUAUUAUAUUUGAAUAGCAACUUGAUUCUGUAAUGGAGUAGAGACAUUUGUCACCACAAAACAUGAUACAACUUAGAAAAAUUACUCUAGAAAUUGUGUUUUAAUUUCCAGGUUCUAAGCAAGCUGUUUUGUCACUAUAAUUGUUAAAGUUUAACAUAUCCAUUGUCAAAGGUAUGACCAAAAUGAAUAAAAAUAUUUAAGCCCAAAAAGUUUAAGGGAACUCUGAGACAUAAUUGAUGUUCAAGUACCAUUUUUCAAAUGUUAAGGGCUAUUGGCAUCUGCCAACAUUCAAAACAAACAUAUAUAUCUUGAGAGUCAUCAAAAUAAACUUUACUUUUUUGGUACUUCCCUUGUAAGAUCCCAUUUUAAAUGUAAGGACAUUGAAAUAAAAGCCUUCAAUUUAAGAUAGUAUUGCAAUUCCUUUUUAGUCAUGUAACUAGAUAAUUCUUAUAUAUAUUCCAUGUCUUAUGUUGGUUCCUACACAUUAAUCCUGCAAGCCUUUGACAUUAGUGUAUUCUGCAAAGUAUUCAAUGACAAUAUCACCAGCGUCCACCUCUAGACAUACGUACGACUACAUUUUGCUUCUAAUCUCUCAGGCCCCAGUUACACAGACUAUUAUAAUAAGAAAUGAAUCAGAGAUAUCCAAUGCCAUGACACAGUAAAUAUGCAUCUUAAAAAAAAUGUAUACCAAGGUUGAAACAUGCUAUCAGGGACAGUGAUCUGCGGCCACUCAAGUCCUGAAAUGAUUUAUGAUGUAGUCUAUUAUUUUUCUUAAUUGGCCACCAACUCUUCAUUGUAGUCUCCUUUCCUAGUUAAAUGCUGGACAUUAAGGUGAUACAACUACACCAGAAGGCUUCAGUACUUACAGUGGAGACAAAAGGACCAGGCCAGUAAACUCAGGCUGACAAGUGACUACCAUAGGACAAGCUGAAAAAAUCCGGCCCGGCUCUUUUGCACGUGUUUGACACUGGCUGGCUCUGAAAUUAAAAAUAUGACUCUCUGUCCCCACAAAGCUUAAGUGGAAAACUGCUUUUUUAGAAAGAAGAGCUUCAGAAGUCUUUCAUACUACUUAUAUAUUUACUCCAAAAGCUAAAUUAAGUACACUGUGAGGGGGGAAAUUGACCCCAAUUUAUAGCUGGUUUAAAAAAAAAAUAGGCAAAUCAAACCAUCUGAAAAUAGGGUUUGUCAUGGAAACAGCAAUGCUAAUGGGACAGUAUCCCAAGUAGCCUUAUGGUUUUCCAGACACGUCCUAUUUUGCCACCAGUAUUAAAAGAAAUAAAAGAAUACACUGGUUUUCUAUAUGCAUCAUCAUUUAGAAUAAAUUGUUUUCUAAGAAUAAAGGCUGGUGGUGACUUAAAAAUGUCUUCUAAAGCUAUUUAACCACAGCAUGUAAAACCUUUCUGCAUCAAAUUUAUAGUUACAUCAUGUUAAGGACACCUCCAAUAAGACUGCUUUAAAAUAUAGUUUUGGAUAGCAAUUAAUGUCAAAAACAUGUUUUUCCAGAAAUUAUCUAAUUGAACUACUUAGUGAGGAGAUAUGUGUGAAUUUGGCCUAAGAAUACUAUUUUUUUGUGUAUGUCUAUACAAUAAACCCUCUAUCUACUAUAUUAUGUUAAUGUAACAAAGAAAAAGGGAACACAAAAUUGCAUCUUGCUACUUAAAAUCAAAUGCUACAUUUUUAGUAAGAUCUAAUUUUUUUGAUUUUCCUUAAAAUGAAUAAUGACUUAUAAGACAAUUGCAUUGUAACAAGGAAAGUAACUCUAUUGUAUCAAUGAUCUUCAUUUUAGUCCCUUGUCAUUUUAUCACAAAAUGUUUUCAUGGGAAAAUUUAGUAAAGAUAUUUUUAACCUGUAAAGGUAUUUGAGGUUUUCCAUCUAGCAUUUUCCAUUUCUCAUAACCAUAUUUCCAUAUUAUGAAAUGUAAGUAAACUUUACAUCUCUAUUUUAUAAAAAUUAAUGCAUAUAUACUUAUGUGUAUACUUAUCUAUAUAUACACAUAUAUACACCCAUGCAUAAAUUCUGACUAAGAGUAGACCAACUAGAUAAUUUAUCUGGAGAAGGUUCCUUGAACGAUUAAAAAAAGGGGUCUUCAGAAGCAAACAACAAAACAGCCUUACAAACCCAAUUGCUGUUUAAAAUGUUUAUGAACACAUAGCCAGUUAACCAUUUAUUGAUUGCCUAUUUAGGGUUUUGUAAUAUCCAAGAUUAUGGAAGAGAUAAGACAAUACCUCUAAAAAAUAUGAGAAAGGUGAUGAUUUAAAAAUAAACCUCCAUAAUAUAAAAAGUCAUGUAAAUUUAUUCCCUGAAAGAAAAGAAAGCUUUAAUAUUAAAAUUAGAGUUCUCUUUUAAUCCUCUUUGAGUAAAGAAAUAAUUUGCAAACUUCUAUUUUCUACUGUCAUGAAAACAGAUCUUUUCUUGGGACUUCACAAAUGUCAAUCACAACAAUGCAAACAGAGUAAUUCUUUGGAAAGACUGAUCUGAGGGUUUAAGGGUAGACUUUUUUCAUUGAAUUCCUGAAUUUUUACACUGUGGGAUUGGCUAUGAGACACCAUAAAAUGUAAAAUAGUUCAGACAGCUCAAGCUCUAUUAUUUUCAGG
rnacentral:lncRNA from 10 species